rnacentral:misc_RNA from 1 species
GAAAUGCGAUAAGUAAUGUGAAUUGCAGAAUUCAGUGAAACAUCGAAUCUUUGAACGCACCUUGCGCUCCUUGGUAUUCCUUGGAGCAUGCCUGUUUGAGUAUCAUGAAAUCUUCAAAGUUAAUCUUUUGUUAACUCAAUUGGUUUCUACUUUGGUAUUGGAGGUCUUUGCAGCUUCACACCUGCUCCUCUUUGUUCAUUAGCUGGAUCUCAGUGUUAUGCUUGGUUCCACUCGGCGUGAUAAGUUAUCUAUCGCUGAGGACACUGUAAAAGGUGGCCAAGGUAAAUGCAGAUGAACCGCUUCUAAUAGUCCAUUGACUUGGACAAUACUUUUAUGAUCUGAUCUCAAAUCAGGUAGGACUACCCGCUGAACUUAAGC